CAGACAGACAGAGCAGAGAGGAGAGGGUACGAGGAUCCACGUUCUCUUCUUCUUCUUCUUCUUCUUCUAGUGUGAGGAUGAGUGUGGUCCUCGUGGACAGCGCGUGUCUCCUCUCCGCCCUGCAGCCGAACUCCUCCUGCACCGCGUACGCGCUGCCCUCGGACGGUCCGAGUCCGGACCCGGCGGCCAGAGCCCGGAGAGUCCAGGAGCAGGUCCGGAGGAGGCUGCAGGAGAACAAGAAGUCCAGCUCCCUGACCAGACUGGACGAGCCGCUGUCCGGAUCCACAGAUUUUUAUUUUCCUGAGACCAAGAACCUGGUCCACCAUCAUGGUUUUAGUUCCAGAUCCAUGGGUUACACACCCAGCCGUGUCAUGGCCGUCCCCACAGUUCCUCUCCUGUCCUCGGGUUUCUCGUCUCACUCUGCCGUGGAAAGCAGUUACAACACAAACCACAAGAGAAGCAGCGCAGUGCAGAGCAGCUUCCAGACCAGCAGCAGGCGCUCUAAGUCCCAGUGCCAGGCCGAGCACGAAUGGCUUCCUCCAGAGGUCUCCUCUGUGCCGCUCACAGCGCCGCCCUCAGGCAGUCUGCGGCGCAGCCUCAGUGGGACGCUGGCUCAGGACAGAAGUUUCUGGCAGGAGGAGCCAGUGUCACAGUCCACCUACAAAGGCCCCUCCCACCGCACCAUCAGCCGCAUCGCCAACCGUCAACAGCAGCAGCAGGAGAGCUGGCAGGGGACGAGCAGGGCCGUCCCUGCUGGGGGGAACAGCUGGGGGACUCAGUGGCAGCAGCACGUGUCCAGGGCGGGGACAUACCAGAUCCCCCUCAAACGCACGCCGUCUGUCCGCAGUGUGAGGAGCGUCGGGAAAGGAGUGGACGUCCUGGACGGAGCAUCCAUACACAGCAACGACGCUCUGGCAGAGAUGCAGGGUCUGGACAUGGUCACAGCGGUCAGAUAUCUCUCUGAACCGGAUGUUGCUCUGCACGUUCUUGGAGCUGCGUUCAUUCAACACCAGUGUUACCAUAGCAACGAAGCCAAAAACCAGGUCCGGGUUCUGCACGGUAUCCCGGCUCUGGUUCAGCUCUUCACCAGUGACAACCAGGAAGUGCAGCGCUAUGCCACCGGUGCCACACGGAACCUCAUCUACGAAAACGCCGACAACAAAAUGGCGCUCAUAGACGCUGGAGGACUGACGUGUCUCAUCGGUGUCCUCAGUGAACCUGACGAGGAACUUCGGAAGAUCAUCACAGGUGUCCUGUGGAAUCUGUCCUCCAGAGACAACCUGAAGGAAAAGCUGUGUCGAGACGCUUUAGCCGAGCUGACGGACAACGUCCUGAUUCCUCUGUCCAACAGUCUCCCACUGUCCCCGUCUGAGAGAGACAUCUUCUACAACACCACUGGCUGCUUCAGGAACUUGAGCUCAGUAAAUGAAAGGACGAGACAGAAGAUGAGAGACAUGCGAGGCCUGGUGGACUCUCUGGUGUCUUACAUCCAACACGAGGACGCAGCAGAGGACAAGGGUCUGGAGAAUUGUCUGUGUGUCAUGAGGAAUCUGUCGUAUCAGCUCUACACGGAGCUUCCUCCAUCUGUGCGUCUGCGUCUGGAGGGACCGACCCGAGCGUCUGCCUCCAGGAACAUGGACGCCAUCAGCUGUUUCCCUCUGUACAGCAAGAAACACACUCAGUGUAAACAGAACCUCAGCGUUCUCUCUGAAGUGUCCCGUCAGCCCAAAGGUUCUGAGUGGCUCUGGCACCCGAGGAUUGUGACGCUGUACAAGAAGGUUCUUCUGGACUCAGACAGCAGCGCCACCUGCAGGGAGGCUGCUGUAGGAGCUCUGCAGAACAUCACCACAGGAGACACCUGGUGGUCAUCAGUACUGACCGCUGUGGUCACAGAGCAGGAGAAGAUGUUGUCCGUCCUCCUCGAUCUCUUAGACUCCAGCAGUGACACAGAGCUCCGACCUUUGACCGGUCUGCUGAGAAAUCUGUCCAGACACUCGUCCAACAAAGACCACAUGGCGAAGACCAUGGUGAACAUCAUUGUGUCCAAGCUGCCGUGUGAUGGACUCCAGAAGACACCGUCCAGCGAGGUGGUGUCCAACCUGUGUGGAGUCCUCAAUCACCUGGUCACCUGCAGCUCUCUGGCCGCGCGAGACAUCACUUAUUUCAACGGCCUGUCCAAGCUGGUGGGCAUCAAGACCUUCCACGACCACAGGUCUGAGAACGACCGCCGCUCUCCAGCAGGGGGCAGACGUGUAAUAUCUCACUUCCUGGGAGAGUGAAAGCAGCGAGAGCCGCCUCCACCGUGCUCUACAACAUGUUUCAGUACAACAAGCUGCACAAACACUACAAACUGAAAGGAUUUUCCAGGAAGGAUUUCACAGACGCCUCCAUGUAGACAUGUCACAUGACUGUGGACAGAGGAGGAGGAGGAGCAGGAGGAGGAGCAGGAGAAGUAGGAGCAAGACGAGCAGGAGGAGCAUGGAGAGGCGUUCAUCUAAACGUGUCUGAAUCGCAGGAGGAGUUGAUUUUAGGUUCACGCUCUUUUGUAGUUCGUUGUUAAAGGCACAGUCCCGGGUUCUGACUCACUGUCAGAGCUGACUGCUGUGAGCGCCCCCUGCUGCUGAGAACCAGCCUAACACUCAGGAAACUGAAGUCUGUAAACCACUCACUCUCCCACACCAAAGUCCAGAGAGAAAAUCAGUGAUUGUAGCUGCUGGUCCUCUGCUGCCUCGUGUGGUCACUUUGUGUCACUGACUCAAAAUAAGACAUUUGAACUUAGUGGAGGAGGCAAUGUGUGUGUCUGCGUGUGUGUCUGUGUGUUUGUGUGUGUGUGUGUGUGCGUGUGCGUGUGUGUCUGUGUGUUUGUGUGUGUGUGUGUGUGCGUGUGCGUGUGUGUGGGAGAGUGAGUGCUUUACAAACUUCAGUUUCCUGUAAUUAAAGUCAGUCUAACAGUGAGAUAAAGACGUGAUCAUGUGACGUAGAAAGUCUUUUGUUAAAGUGGAUAAAAGCUGUCUGUAGUUUAUGUGAAGGAGACAGUGAGACAGAAGUGAGACAGUCUCACCCUCAGAGAACUCACUGCUCUUUGUCAGUGUUUUCCUCGACUCCUUUUUUAAAAUAAGUUUGUUUGAAUUCAUUUUAGAGCAGAUUUGAACUCUUUAUAUGUUUUUAUUGUUUUACUUUUGUUUUAUUAGUUUGAGAUUUUGGUAAUAUAGAUAUAGAUUAGGUGAUUCACUUCAUAUCGUUAUGUAUGAAAUUCAUUUCCAAAGAUGAAAACUAAGCACAUUUUUUGAGUUAGUUUUAUAAACACACACAAUUCACUUUCAGUUAGUUAUCGUUUCUAGUUUUAUUUCAGUGAAUGAAAUUGUUUUUUCUUACUUAUUACAAAGUCUUACUUUGAGCAAAUGAUUCAUCUUUUUCUUUAUCUAACAUAAGAGCAUUAGUCUUUGAUUAAGAUAAAGAUGAAUCAUGAUCUUAAUGCGUUCAUCUUUUACUUCUUUUUUUUUAAUUUUCCUCUCCUUUGUGGUUGAAAACUUGUGUGUAUGUUAAUGUGUGUGUGUUAGUGUCGCAGGACUCCAGGUCCAGGUCAGGGACUGAGGUCCAGAUCCAGAUCGUGGAUUGAGACAUGGCUCCUGUGUCUCAGACUGGUUCUCAGCACAGUCUCGCAGAGAAGAUAACACGACUAAAAACAUCGUUCAGAGGAGUUUCCAGAUGUUAUUUUAGAUCAUUAGUGUUGGUGGGAGGAGUCAGAAAGCCUGACCCUGACCUUCACACUGAAAGUUUAUGUGAGGGAGGCUCAGAGAUUCACUCACCCACUCACUGUGACGUCACAAACUCACCAUAACACAAAAACAUCUUUGAAACUUGUUACGUUGCCAUUAAAAUGAAGAUGAAAUAAGAGUGAGAAAAGUUCAAUAUGUAGUUUGAUGUUAAAUGAAUCUAUAAAUGAAAAUAAUCCUUCUAACUCAGUAUGAAAUCCAUAGGAACAGUUUCAUGCUCUAACUUCACCAGCCACCAGGGGGCAGAAUAUCAUGAGUCACAUUCAAACUGUCAAAAUUCAGAAAAGAAGAGAAAACAAAUGAAUGAUCAAGUGUUUCUGAGAAAAUCAUCAACUGCAGCUUUACUUUGACAUCCAAACAGCUAGCAUUUCAAUCUUAGCAUUUGUUGACAAGCAUCAUAUCCAAAGAUGCUAAUGUUAGCAACUUUGCUAAUAUUAGCAAACAUGGCUAAAGUUUGCAAAGUCUGCUAGCAAUCCUGCUACCUAUAGCAACGUUGCUAAUGCUGGCUAAUGUUGCACAGUUCUGCUAAUGUUAGCAACGUUGCUAAUGUAAAGUUUGGUGGGAAAACAAAGGAAACAAAAUGGCCACCGCAGGCAGUAAAUGUUUUAAAAGAAGAUUGACGUUAUUUUACGAUGAACGUCCACACGCGUGAGUGCCGUCUCUGCACUGAGGAGACACGAAGACAUCAUGUAUUCAUCACUUCUGUAAUCUGUUUGUUUGUACUAAUACAUAAUAAACUAUAAAUAUCUAAAGUCCUUCAUUCUUUAAAUGAUUUCAUUCAAUUUCAAUUUGUUUGUUUCGUACAUUUGAACAUAAACAAACAUCAAUUGAUCUAAUAAAGAGUGAAAAUCUU